GAGUUUGAUCUUGGCUCAGAUUGAGCGCUGGCGGCAUGCCUUACACAUGCAAGUCGAACGGUAACAGGUCUUCGGAUGCUGACGAGUGGCGAACGGGUGAGUAAUACAUCGGAACGUGCCCGAUCGUGGGGGGAUAACGGAGCGAAAGCUUUGCUAAUACCGCAUACGAUCUACGGAUGAAAGCAGGGGACCGCAAGGCCUUGCGCGGACGGAGCGGCCGAUGGCAGAUUAGGUAGUUGGUGGGAUAAAAGCUUACCAAGCCGACGAUCUGUAGCUGGUCUGAGAGGACGACCAGCCACACUGGGACUGAGACACGGCCCAGACUCCUACGGGAGGCAGCAGUGGGAAUUUGGACAAUGGCGAAAGCCUGAUCCAGCCAUGCCGCGUGCAGGAUGAAGGCCUUCGGU
rnacentral:rRNA from 1 species